rnacentral:misc_RNA from 1 species
GAUGAAGAACGCAGCGAAAUGCGAUAAGUAAUGUGAAUUGCAGAAUUCAGUGAAUCAUCGAAUCUUUGAACGCACAUUGCGCCCGCCAGUAUUCUGGCGGGCAUGCCUGUUCGAGCGUCAUUUCAACCCUCAGGACCCUUUGGACCUGGUGUUGGGGCUCGGCCGCUACCCCGCGGCCGUCCCCGAAAGAUAGUGGCGGUCUCGCUGUAGCGUCCUCUGCGUAGUAAUUACACCUCGCACUGGAACGCGGCGCGGCCACGCCGUUAAAGACCCCACUUCUCAAGGUUGACCUCGGAUCAGGUAGGAAUACCCGCUGAACUUAAGCAUAUCAAUAAGCGGAGGA